GUCCUCGCUUCGGCAGCACGUAUACUAAAAUUGGAACGAUACAGAGAAGAUUAGCUUGGCCCCUGCACAAGGAUGACACGCAAAUUCAUGACACAUUCCAUAUUUUU
ensembl:snRNA Gm22260 predicted gene, 22260